GGACAGAAAUUCUGACUUUUUCUGGGCUUAAACCUAAACCAGAGCGGGCAAGACAAGGUGAAGAUAAAAUCCCAGGGUCCUGACAUCGACUGUCCCUGGUGGUAGCCAGGAGCUCAUCCUCCUUCCUCGUACACAUUCUUCUGAACAAAUCUUGAAAGCAGAGAGCGAGAGGGCAAAGCAGGACAGGUCUCUGCGUUGUAUAAUGGUAUCCUGCACUCGACUUGUACCAGAAGAGUCAUUAAAGAUCAGAAGUGUAUAAACUCAGGAAAUCUCAGAAGAGGGAAGGUUUUAACAGAACUGGAGCAAUAAUCAUGGGAAAGAAAAGAAUGAGAUUUGAGAACCUGGAAGAGCAGCAGUUUGGCAGUUCAAGUCAGACAAGACCUGAAGUUUCUUCUUUCUAUCUCUUCUUUGGGAUGAUGAUUCCACCAGUUCCCUGGGCAGCCUGUUCCAGGAUCCUGGCCCGGGUGGGGACAGCCAAAGGACUCCUCGAGGUUUCAGCUGAGUGCCAGGAUGCUCAUGCCAGCAGAAAAGGCAGACCAGCUAUCCUGCCACCUAAACAAAAAAGCUCAGCACAAACAGCUUCAGUAAGACUGCAUUCACCUGAGCACCCCAGACUAGUCAUCGCAUGCCAGCAGUCACCUGGAAAAGUCUACCUGGUCCCAGCUCCCAAGCAGAUCUCCAAGCAAGGAUUGUUUUUAUUUGCUGAUUCGAUGUCUGAGCAUCCCAAGUUCUAAAGGAACUGAUGGAUGAAGCUGCUAUCCAUCAUAUUGAAAAGUUAUGGCAGUCCACUGAAGCUCUUAUUGACUGGAAAUGGAGAAAUGGAACCCCCAUUUUUAAAAAGAGAAGAAAGAAAAGCCUGGGAAACUCACAGGCUGGUCAGUCUCACCUUGCUUGUUUCCUAGCAAGAUCACAGAGAUGAUCCUCUUAGAAACUGUGCUAAGGCACAUGGAAAUUAAAGACUUGUUUGGUGACAGCUGGUUGGGGCUCUGCUAAGGGUAAAUUGUACCUGAGAAAUUUGGUGGCCUUCUAUGACAAGCUUUCAGCAUUGGUCAGAAAGGGAAGAACAGCUGACACCACGUUCCUUCACUUCUGCAAAGUGUUUGACGCUGUUCCACAUGACAUCCUUGUCUCAAAACUGGAGAGAUGUGGUAGCUGGACCAUUUACUGGGUAAGGAAUUGGCUGGAUGGGCACUGUUAGGGAGCUGUGGUCAAUGGCCCAAUGUCCAAGUGGAGACCAUUGGUGAGUGGUGUUCCUCAAGGGCUGGUAUCUGGCGCAGUUGAGGCCUAUGCAAACCUCAGGAACUUCAACAAGGCCAAGCACAAGGUGCUUCACCCAAGGCAGGGCAAUCCCAAGCUUAAAUUGGGUGAGGAAUGGAUUGAGAGCAGCCCCAAGGAGAAGGCCUUGGGGGUGUUGGUAGAUGAGAAGUUCAACAUGAUGCUGCAAUGUGCUCUUGAAGCCUAGAAAGCCAAACAUAUCAUGGGCUGCAUCAGAAGAAGAGUGACCACAGGUCAAGGGAGGGGAUUCUCAUCCUCUUCCCUGCACUUGUGAAACCCCACAUGGAGUGAUGAGUCCAGUUCUGGGACCCCAAACAUAAGAAAGGUGAGGACACAUUAGAGCGAGUCCAGAAGAGAGCCAUGAAGAUGAUCUGAGGGCUGGACCAGCUCUCCUGUGAAGAGAGUGAUUUGGGGCUGUUCAGCCUGGAGAGGAGAAGGCUCUGGGGAAAUCUUAUAGCAGCCUUUCAGUACCUGAAGGGAGUCUACAAGAAAGAUGGAGAAAGACUUUUUCCAAGGACAUGCAGUGAAAGGUCAAGGGCUUUAUACUGAAAGAGAGGAGGUUUACUUUAGGUAUUAGGAAGAAUAUUUUUACUUUGGGUGAUGAGGAACAGAAACAGAUUGUCUAGAGAAGUCAUGGAUGCCCCAUUGCUGGAAGUGUUCAAGGUCAGGUGAGGUGGGGCUCUGAGCAGCCUGGUCUAAUGGAAGGUGCCCUGUCCCUGCAAACAAGAUGAUAUUUAAGGUCCCUUUCAACUCAAAUCAUUCUAUGAUUCUAGAAACCCGUUUUCUUCAGGGAGGACAAUUAGAGGCUUCAUGCUAUGUGAAGAAUUGUUUAAUAAUUCCUAUCUGCUUGCCAAAAUAUAACAAAUUACACAAGUGACUUCACAAAAAAAAAAAAAAAAAAAAAAAAAAAAAAAAAAAAAAAACAAACUGAAUAUCUGAGCAAGUCAAACAAUGACCCUUGAAAAUGCUGUCAAGCAAAUGUAUGCUUUUAGUCAAAUUAAGGUUUGUGAAUUCUCCUUGCAGUAUUUUCCCAGUACUAGCCAAGAAAGACAUUGUUAAAUGUAAAUUGUAGUGACAGUAAUUUUAAAAAAUUUGAAAUAGGCCUUGUUACUCAGAAGGUGCAUUUGUCACAUGGUAUUAUGAUGAAAAAUGCAGUGAGCUGCUGCCUUUCACUGAGUUUGGAUUAGGAUCCACAUGCUGUGUAAUACAGCAGAAAAACAUCACGGUUUUGGCAAAAUAUGAUGGAAGUUUUGUCCGCACAAAGUUGGCGGAAGUGCUUUUUAGAAGUGGAAAUUACCAAGCUUAAAAAAUGCUAUUUACUUGGAAAAAUUGUUCCUUACAACAGAUCAAAAUAAAGAAUAACUAGUUUUUCUGAGUGGUAUGCCU
ensembl:lncRNA